UACGUAGGGUGCAAGCGUUUGUCCGGAAUUAUUGGGCGUAAAGGGCUCGUAGGCGGUUUGUCGCGUCGGGAGUGAAAACCCAGGGCUUAACCUGGGGGCUGCAUUUGAUACGUGUGGGCUUGAGUGCGGAAGAGGGUCGUGGAAUUCCCAGUGUAGAGGUGAAAUUCGUAGAUAUUGGGAAGAACACCGGUGGCGAAGGCGGCGACCUGGUCCGUGACUGACGCUGAGGCGCGAAAGCGUGGGGAGCAAACAGG
rnacentral:rRNA from 1 species